rnacentral:sRNA from 12 species
AAACGGGACUCGUAAGUCCUGGAUCAGGCUGCUCCGAUGUAAGUCGGUGAUACUCCGUCGGGCUACUAAGGCCCCACCUUGAGUGUGAACGGUGAGAAUCGGCCCCCAGGGUGAGCCCGUUU